rnacentral:rRNA from 1 species
CUUGGUCAUUUAGAGGAAGUAAAAGUCGUAACAAGGUUUCCGUAGGUGAACCUGCGGAAGGAUCAUUACAGAGUUCGUGCCCUUCGGGGUAGAUCUCCCACCCUUGUGUAUCAUUAUAGAAUGUUGCUUUGGCGGGCCGCGCCUAGUGUGCCUGGAUUCGCGUCCAGCGUGCCCGCCAGAGGACCCCUAAACUCUGAAUGUUAGUGUCGUCUGAGUACUAUUAAAUAGUUAAAACUUUCAACAACGGAUCUCUUGGUUCUGGCAUCGAUGAAGAACGCAGCGAAAUGCGAUAAGUAAUGUGAAUUGCAGAAUUCAGUGAAUCAUCGAAUCUUUGAACGCACAUUGCGCCCCCUGGUAUUCCGGGGGGCAUGCCUGUUCGAGCGUCAUUUCAACCCUCAAGCACUGCUUGGUAUUGGGCGUCACUACCUAAGUGUGCCCUAAAGUUAGUGGCGGCGCCCAUUCGGCUUCCAGCGUAGUAAAUUUCUCGCUGUGGAAACGUAUUGUGCUCCCUGUCAGCAACCCCUAAAUUUUUAAGGUUGACCUCGGAUCAGGUAGGGAUACCCGCUGAACUUAAGCAUAUCAAUAAGCGGAGGA